CAAUUGUUUUUAUUGGAAUUGGUUAAGGUUAAAUUAGGUAAAAAUUGAAAAUUUGUAAAAACAAAAAAGUUACUUAUUCUACUAGAAACUCUCUUUUCCGUUUAUAUAUUGCCGACAGAGGGAGUAUAUAAACUCAUAUUCACUUUUGUUUACCCAGAUCUACCCGUAUUUACUUCAUUUACUCUUUCUUCCUACAUCUGCAACUAUCUCUAAUGAGUAUAAUAUCUAUUCUUUUUCGAAGUCUUUCACUGGUAGAAAGGUUUGACGUGCUAGAACAUUUCAUACACUUGGUUGGGAAAGUUUGGACACAAUAGCACACUUUUUCUCCGCAAUCAAGAUUGGUAUCUCCUUUCUGGGAUUUGGAAGUUUCCUCAAGUUAUUGUUGAUUUUUUCAAUCUGGGGGUACAUGCUUUUGAAUUAAAUGAAUACCCAGUAAACACACAUCCAAAAGCAACAUCAAGCUAGGUUUCCCACAAAAGCAUCUUCAGGCUUCAUGACUCCGGUUACGAUCUACUCUCCAACAACAAAAAAGACACAUGUAGCAAAGAUGCCAGCAGCAAGACAUUCACAGAAGAUACCAGCAUCAGAAAAUGUUACAAGACCGAGUCAGAAGAACCCAAACCGAUCCAUACUGAUUCUAUCACAUGAAAACCGAGUUAAGUUAUGUCGGUUACCUUUUUUAUUGUUACUAUAAAAUCAUUGACACUGGGUUGGAUUUAUGGAUCCUGCUUUAGCUAUGCCAGCACUAUGAUUUUGAUAAAACCCUUGAGAAAUAGUUGGAUUCACGAAUCCUGACAUUUCUAUUGAUUAUAGAAUUGUUAUUUGAGCUGGAUGGGUCAUUUUUGAUCCAGCCAAGACCAUUGAAACUAGUUCUGUUACUUUGGAAUCGGAUAGGAACGGUAGGAUUUUUUUUUCCAGAAUUGGUCUAGUAAAUAUGUUGUUAAGUCUCUUCAUUAUCA